AUGACAUUAAGGACUCUUCCAUAUCAUCCAAAAUAUGUGGUAUCCUUAAUGAAUUUUGGCAUGUGAAUUCCUUACCAGAGAAGGACUCUUCCUUCUCUUCUGUGCCCAUAAUCCCAAGAUCCAUCUCAUGACAUGAGGAAUUAAGAAAUGCAUGGAAUUAAUGGUAAGCAAUUUAAGAGGAGUGGAAGAGAAGGACUCCUCUUAACAUGCAAAAAUAAAUGAUGCCACAUUUUUCUUUGGCAUGGUGAAUGGCAUGGAGGUAGG
rnacentral:lncRNA from 1 species